CGGUGGGCUAGGCCGGGGGGCUCGGCGUCCCCUGUGACCCGAAACCGUCGUCAUGCGGGGGCCGAAGCCGAAGGAAGGCCCGGAGGGCGGGAGGCGAAAGCCCCCGGCCUCGUAGAAUCUCCGUCCCGGAGGGCCGGCGGUCACGGCCGGGCUUCCCGGAGGGGAUGUCCGCCGUGUUUGCCGGGGGAACCGGCCCAGGCCCGGAAGGGAGCAGGCUAACCCCGGACGUUCGGCGCUUCCGGGGGUGCGGAGAGGAUGGGGCCGGGGGAGAUAACCUCCCGUCCGAAGGGUCGACCGGAGGCGCGCCCACCA
rnacentral:SRP_RNA from 1 species